ensembl:lncRNA
GAGAAUUCUUGCCACCCGAGGAAAAAAGUUGCAGAGAUAUGGGCCAAGGAGAUGUUAGAAGACGAAGGGGAUUAUGAGGAGGAAGAGGAAGAUGAGGUGCUUGCUCUUGAAGAGGAGGAGGAAGAAGAAGAAGAAUAUGGGGAUGAAGAGGAAGAAGAGGUAGAAGAAAGUGAUGAGGAGAUCGUAGAGGAGGAAGAAGAGGAGGAGGAAUUAGCAAAGGAAGCAGUGGUGGAGGAAAAGAGAAAAGAGGAGGCUGAAAAAAAGGAGAAUGAGGAAGCUGAUGCUCAUAAUGAGGAAGAAAAAGAAGAUGAAGAGGAGGAAGCAGCAGCAGAAGUUGUGCAGAAGGAGGAGGACAAAGAAAAGGAGGAAGAGGAGGCUGAUGCAGAUGAAGAAAAUGAAGAUGAAAAGAAGGGAGUAGCAGCAGAAGCUGUGCAGAAGGAGGAGGAAACAGAACAAGAAGAAGAGGAAGCUGAUGCUGAGCAGGAAGAAGAACAUGAAGAGGAAGCUGCUGCUCCUGCUGUCAAGAAGAAAGAUACUUCGAUCUCUGCUGAUUCUGAUGAGGAGAAAGAAGAAACUUCAGAACAAGUCACUUCUAAAGAAACCGAGAAAAGAAAAAAAGAUACUCCUGCUGAUGAUAAAGAUGAUGACCAAAAAGAUGACCAAAGCGAGGAAAAAGAUGUUGACGAUGAGGCCCAAGAGGCUGAUAUCGCCAUAGCUGUUGGUAUUAUAGCUGAUGCUGGUGCUACAGUCGCUGAUGUUGAAGUGCAAGAAACUGGUGAGGAAUCUAUACUUCUUAAAGCUGAUGGCGAUUCAAAGCUAUUAACAACCAUAGAGGAGAGUGCUGCUAAAGCUGAUAAUGCAGUGGCUGAUUUAGCUGACUCACAAGAUGGCUUAAGCGCUACUGAUGACCAUGAUGAUAAGAUGAUAAAAGAGCUAGCUGACGAUCAUGGUGAGGUUACAGAAGACGGUCUUGAAGAUGAGACUGGUAAUGGACUGAUAGACGCUGACUCUGAGAAAGAUAUAACACGUGAAGUUGAGGGUGUUUUUGAGGAGCCUGAGCUAGCCGAUGAUGUUGCAGAUAAGGAGGAGCAGGAGCAAGAGGGAAAAGAGGAGGGAGAGGAACAGAUAAGGGUUGAGGAUGAUGAUGAUGAUGAUGCUGCUGCUGCUGAUGAUGAUGAUAUUAUAGUAACAGCACCUGUAGUUAGUUCUGACGCAGGUGGAGAUGAGACAACAGUGGUGGCUGAUGAAGAUGGUGACUCUUCACCUGAAAAAGACAUAACAACCCUGAAAGAAGAGGAGAAAGAUGAAAAGGAUGAAAGCGCAGAGGAGGCGGAAAUCGCUGAAAAAGCACCAGAACCAGAACCGGUCCCUAAAGGUAACAAACAUAGCAACAGUUUGCUUGCAUGAAGCAUAUAAAAUGAACCAGAAUUAAAAUGAGAAUAUCAUGCCAACACUAAUGAGCUCCAAGGUCUCACUAAGGAGCUCAAAAACUGUGGAGGAGUGGUGUUCUACAACAGGCAGAAGUCUGAUGGAGGUGGAUGAUGGGAGAAGAGGGCAAGUGUGUGUGUGGCUGUGGAUGUGAGGGUUGAGCAGACCCUUAGGCCUUAAACUUUGAUCUCCAACGACUUCCUUAUAGCUAUUUUUCCCCAUCUACUUCACAGCAUUAGAAUGAAGUUGGUGUGUGUCUAGUUGCUUGAUGUUCUGCACUGGUCUCUGCUGCACUCUCAGAAAAAAAAAGGUACAAAAGCUAUCACCUGGGAAAUAUCUUUUCAAAAGGUACAAUUUGUAAAUUUUUAGGUACAAAUAUGUACACUUCAGGUGUUAAUACUUACCUUUAAGGAACUAAUAUGCACGCUUUAAGUACAAAGGUGUACCCUUUGAAAAGGUACCGCCACAGUGACAGAUUUUGUACAUUGUUUUUCUGUGUGUAUAAAAAGACAAAAAAAAAAAAAGUACUUUCUCAGACUCAGUUAUAGAUCAAAGGGGUCUGGCCUCAUUUAUUAUAUCCUUGACUGUUAUUAAACUGUAAUGUUAAAGUGACCAAUUAUUGAACUUUAUUUAUUGAGCUG